AACGCGAAGAACCUUACCUCGGCUUGACAUGCACGUGGUACCGACGCGUAAGCGAAGGGACCCGCGAGGGAGCGUGCACAGAUGCUGCAUGGCUGUCGUCAGCUCGUGCCGUGAGGUGUUGGGUUAAGUCCCGCAACGAGCGCAACCCUUGUCCUUAGUUAUCAUGUCUAGGGAGACCGCCGGUCUAAACCGGAGGAAGGUGGGGAUGACGUCAAGUCAGCACGGCUCUUACGUCGAGGGCUACACACACGCUACAAUGGCCGGUACAACGGGCUGCGAAGGGGCGACCUGAAGCUAAUCCCACCAAAGCCGGUCUCAGUUCGGAUCGCAGGCUGCAACUCGCCUGCGUGAAGUCGGAGUUGCUAGUAACUGCUGGUCAGCACACAGCAGUGAAUACGUUCCCGGGCCUUGUA
rnacentral:rRNA from 1 species